ACGUAGGGGGCGAGCGUUGUCCGGAAUCACUGGGCGUAAAGCGCACGUAGGCGGGCAGUCAAGUCAGCCGUGAAAGGCCCGGGCUCAACCUGGGGAUGGCAGUUGAAACUGGAUGUCUUGAGGGCGGGAGAGGGAAGUGGAAUUCCUGGUGUAGCGGUGAAAUGCGUAGAUAUCAGGAGGAACACCAGUGGCGAAGGCGGCUUUCUGGACUGUGCCUGACGCUGAGGUGCGAAAGCGUGGGGAGCGAACGG
rnacentral:rRNA from 1 species